AAUUCGCCCUUUUCCGGUUGAUCCUGCCAGAGGCUACUGCUAUCAGAGUUCGAUUAAGCCAUGUUAGUCGAGGGUGCUCUUCUUCCUCGGAGGAAGAGUAACCCGGCGGACGGCUCAGUAACACGUGGACAACUCACCCUUGGGACCGGGAUAACCCCUGGGAAACUGGGGCUAAUACCGGAUAGGGCAUCGAUUGCUGGAAUGCGCGAUGUUCAAAAGCUGAGGCGCCCAAGGAUAGGUCUGCGGCCGAUUAGGUUGUUGUUGAUGUAACGGAUCAACAAGCCCACGAUCGGUACGGGUUGUGAGAGCAAUAGCCCGGAGAUGGGUUCUGAGAGAAGAACCCAGGUCCUACGGGACGCAUCAGGCGCGAAAACUUUACAAUGUGCGAAAGCACGAUAAGGGAACUCUGAGUGCCUCCUAAGGAGGCUGUUCAGGUGUCUAAAAAGCACCUGAAGUAAGGGCUGGGUAAGACCGGUGCCAGCCGCCGCGGUAACACCGGCAGCCCAAGUGGUAGCCACGCUUAUUGGGUCUAAAGCGUCCGUAGUCGGCUGCGUAAGUUCCUUGGGAAAUUUGGCUGCUUAACGGUCAAGCUUUCAGGGAAUACUGCUCAGCUUGGGACCGGGAGAGGUCAGAGGUACUCCAAGGGUAGGGGUGAAAUCCAUUAAUCCUUGGGGGACCACCGGUAGCGAAGGCGUCUGACCAGACCGGGUCCGACGGUGAGGGACGAAGGCUAGGGUCGCGAACCGGAUUAGAUACCCGGGUAGUCCUAGCAGUAAACGAUGUG
rnacentral:rRNA from 1 species